CCUACGGGAGGCAGCAGUGGGGAAUAUUGCACAAUGGGCGCAAGCCUGAUGCAGCCAUGCCGCGUGUGUGAAGAAGGCCUUCGGGUUGUAAAGCACUUUCAGCGGGGAGGAAGGCGGUGAGGUUAAUAACCUCAUCGAUUGACGUUACCCGCAGAAGAAGCACCGGCUAACUCCGUGCCAGCAGCCGCGGUAAUACGGAGGGUGCAAGCGUUAAUCGGAAUUACUGGCGUAAAGCGCACGCAGGCGGUCUGUCAAGUCGGAUGUGAAAUCCCCGGCCUCAACCUGGGAACUGCAUUCGAAACUGGCAGGCUAGAGUCUUGUAGAGGGGGGUAGAAGUUCAGGUGUAGCGGUGAAAUGCGUAGAGAUCUGGAGGAAUACCGGUGGCGAAGGCGGCCCCCUGGACAAAGACUGACGCUCAGGUGCGAAAGCGUGGGGAGCAAACAGGAUUAGAUACCCGUGUAGUC
rnacentral:rRNA from 1 species